rnacentral:rRNA from 1 species
CGGCUUACCAACCCGAUGCAAACUGCGAAUACCGGAGAAUGUUAUCACGGGAGACACACGGCGGGUGCUAACGUCCGUCGUGAAGAGGGAAACAACCCAGACCGCCAGCUAAGGUCCCAAAGUCAUGGUUAAGUGGGAAACGAUGUGGGAAGGCCCAGACAGCCAGGAUGUUGGCUUAGAAGCAGCCAUCAUUUAAAGAAAGCGUAAUAGCUCACUGGUCGAGUCGGCCUGCGCGGAAGAUGUAACGGGGCUAAACCAUGCACCGAAGCUGCGGCAGCGACACUCAGGUGUUGUUGGGUAGGGGAGCGUUCUGUAAGCCUGCGAAGGUGGCCUGUGAGGGUUGCUGGAGGUAUCAGAAGUGCGAAUGCUGACAUAAGUAACGAUAAAGCGGGUGAAAAGCCCGCUCGCCGGAAGACCAAGGGUUCCUGUCCAACGUUAAUCGGGGCAGGGUGAGUCGACCCCUAAGGCGAGGCCGAAAGGCGUAGUCGAUGGGAAACGGGUUAAUAUUCCCGUACUUGGUGUUACUGCGAAGGGGGGACGGAGAAGGCUAUGUUGGCCGGGCGACGGUUGUCCCGGUUUAAGCGUGUAGGUGUGUGUUCCAGGUAAAUCCGGUUCACUUUAACACUGAGGCGUGAUGACGAGGCACUACGGUGCUGAAGCAACAAAUGCCCUGCUUCCAGGAAAAGCCUCUAAGCAUCAGGUAACAUCAAAUCGUACCCCAAACCGACACAGGUGGUCAGGUAGAGAAUACCAAGGCGCUUGAGAGAACUCGGGUGAAGGAACUAGGCAAAAUGGUGCCGUAACUUCGGGAGAAGGCACGCUGACACGUAGGUGAAGUGAUUUACUCAUGGAGCUGAAGUCAGUCGAAGAUACCAGCUGGCUGCAACUGUUUAUUAAAAACACAGCACUGUGCAAACACGAAAGUGGACGUAUACGGUGUGACGCCUGCCCGGUGCCGGAAGGUUAAUUGAUGGGGUCAGCGCAAGCGAAGCUCCUGAUCGAAGCCCCGGUAAACGGCGGCCGUAACUAUAACGGUCCUAAGGUAGCGAAAUUCCUUGUCGGGUAAGUUCCGACCUGCACGAAUGGCGUAAUGAUGGCCAGGCUGUCUCCACCCGAGACUCAGUGAAAUUGAACUCGCUGUGAAGAUGCAGUGUACCCGCGGCAAGACGGAAAGACCCCGUGAACCUUUACUAUAGCUUGACACUGAACAUUGAGCCUUGAUGUGUAGGAUAGGUGGGAGGCUUUGAAGUGUGGACGCCAGUCUGCAUGGAGCCGACCUUGAAAUACCACCCUUUAAUGUUUGAUGUUCUAACGUGGACCCGUAAUCCGGGUUGCGGACAGUGUCUGGUGGGUAGUUUGACUGGGGCGGUCUCCUCCUAAAGAGUAACGGAGGAGCACGAAGGUUGGCUAAUCCUGGUCGGACAUCAGGAGGUUAGUGCAAUGGCAUAAGCCAGCUUGACUGCGAGCGUGACGGCGCGAGCAGGUGCGAAAGCAGGUCAUAGUGAUCCGGUGGUUCUGAAUGGAAGGGCCAUCGCUCAACGGAUAAAAGGUACUCCGGGGAUAACAGGCUGAUACCGCCCAAGAGUUCAUAUCGACGGCGGUGUUUGGCACCUCGAUGUCGGCUCAUCACAUCCUGGGGCUGAAGUAGGUCCCAAGGGUAUGGCUGUUCGCCAUUUAAAGUGGUACGCGAGCUGGGUUUAGAACGUCGUGAGACAGUUCGGUCCCUAUCUGCCGUGGGCGCUGGAGAACUGAGGGGGGCUGCUCCUAGUACGAGAGGACCGGAGUGGACGCAUCACUGGUGUUCGGGUUGUCAUGCCAAUGGCACUGCCCGGUAGCUAAAUGCGGAAGAGAUAAGUGCUGAAAGCAUCUAAGCACGAAACUUGCCCCGAGAUGAGUUCUCCCUGAGACUUAGAGUCUCCUGAAGGAACGUUGAAGACGACGACGUUGA